rnacentral:rRNA from 1 species
UACGUAGGGUGCAAGCGUUGUCCGGAAUUAUUGGGCGCAAAGAGCUCGUAGGCGGUCUGUCGCGUCGGCUGUGAAAUCCCGGAGCUCAACUCCGGGUCUGCAGUCGAUACGGGCAAACUGGAGUACUGCAGGGGAGACUGGAAUUCCUGGUGUAGCGGUGAAAUGCGCAGAUAUCAGGAGGAACACCGGUGGCGAAGGCGGGUCUCUGGGCAGUAACUGACGCUGAGGAGCGAAAGCGUGGGGAGCGAACAGG